UACGAAGGGGGCUAGCGUUGCUCGGAAUCACUGGGCGUAAAGGGUGCGUAGGCGGGUCUUUAAGUCAGGGGUGAAAUCCUGGAGCUCAACUCCAAAACUGCCUUUGAUACUGAGGAUCUUGAGUUCGGGAGAGGUGAGUGGAACUGCGAGUGUAGAGGUGAAAUUCGUAGAUAUUCGCAAGAACACCAGUGGCGAAGGCGGCUCACUGGCCCGAUACUGACGCUGAGGCACGAAAGCGUGGGGAGCAAACAGG
rnacentral:rRNA from 1 species